rnacentral:rRNA from 1 species
UGGGGAAUAUUGCACAAUGUGCGCAAGCCUGAUGCAGCCAUGCCGCGUGUAUGAAGAAGGCCUUCGGGUUGUAAAGUACUUUCAGCGAGGAGGAAGGCGUUGUGGUUAAUAACCGCAACGAUUGACGUUACUCGCAGAAGAAGCACCGGCUAACUCCGUGCCAGCAGCCGCGGUAAUACGGAGGGUGCAAGCGUUAAUCGGAAUUACUGGGCGUAAAGCGCACGCAGGCGGUCUGUCAAGUCGGAUGUGAAAUCCCCGGGCUCAACCUGGGAACUGCAUCCGAAACUGGCAGGCUAGAGUCUUGUAGAGGGGGGUAGAAUUCCAGGUGUAGCGGUGAAAUGCGUAGAGAUCUGGAGGAAUACCGGUGGCGAAGGCGGCCCCCUGGACAAAGACUGACGCUCAGGUGCGAAAGCGUGGGGAGCAAACA